rnacentral:tRNA from 1 species
GGGCAAUUAACUCAGCUGGUAUGAGUACCACCUUGACAUGGUGGGAGUCACAGGUUCGAGUCCUGUAUUGCCCACCA